rnacentral:lncRNA from 10 species
UAGAAUACUACGCUGAAAAAGGAUCUGAGGGAAAGUGGGAGAUUGAUGAACCACUUGUGCCAAAGCAUUUGUCUCUGUGAAGCAUAUCAAAAUCACUCAAACAUCAAAACUGCUGAUCUGAUAGAAUGAUUUAUUUUCCCAUUACAGUUCAUGUUUUUUACACUUGGUCUGCAACCUGGACGGCUUCCCUGCAAUCUUCAUAUAUUAAAUCUACCAAACUUUAAAGGACUGGCUUAAAUGGUAACUUCCUCCUAAAGCUUUCCAGAUAUCCUUCAGAUAGAAGUAAUAUUUCCCACUUUCAAAAUUCCUAAUUCUUUCCUUAUAUAAUAGUCCUAAUUCAUGUUGGGGGUUUAGAUGUGUUUCAGAAUCCAGGAUGUUUGGGAUUUUAGAAAAAAGUAGCAAAUAUGUACACCUUGAGGGAAGUCUAAAGCACCCUGUAAUCAAACUCGUUAGUAUUUCUGUAGUGAAAGAUGAAUAUUCACUAAUAAAUAAG